AUAUAAUUUUUUAUUUUAAAUUAUUGAAUAUACUAAAAAGUAAAACCUAAACCUAAUUCACUAAAAGUUAUUCCUCAAAUCAGCGCCUCCUCCUCAACCUCAUUCCUCAAAUCAGCGCCGCACAGCUCCCGCCUGCACCUAAACCUCGUCACCCCAGCCCCGCCGCAGAUCUGCGCCUGCACCGCGCCGCCUGCACCUGAACCGCGUCGCAUGCACCGGUCCGCUCGUCGCGCCUGCAUCUGCACCGCGCCGCGUCGCCGCAUGCCUCUGCAUCGCCGCCUGCUCCAGAGAUUGCACCGCGCCGCAUCGCCGCCUGCAUCUGCACCGGUCUCCGCACCUGCAUCUGCAUCGCCGCGCGGUCCGAGCCGCCCCACCCUUCCGGCCGCAGAUCUGCUCGCCGCCUGCUCCAGAGCCUCCACCGUGUCGCCGCGCCUGUUUACUUGCUGCCGUGCUUGAGUAUCUCGCAGCCGAGAAUGCAGUUAAUGGACAAUUCAAAUCUAAUAGAAAAUACUCCUCAAAGUAGAUGAAAUUAUGGUGGAAGUGAAUGAUGUGGAGAAAGAAGUUGUGGAUUGAAGAGGUGUUUGCAAAAGAAGCUUCACGUUAAGUUACAAGCUUGAAGGAAGAUUGAAUGCUUGACAUUUGUUCUAGUAUCAUGUUAUUUUGAUGUAUUUGAAACUUUUCAUGAUGUAUGUUUCUACAUGGAUAUUGUUUAUUUUACAAUAUUUUGAAUU